rnacentral:misc_RNA from 1 species
AAGUCGUAACAAGGUUUCCGUAGGUGAACCUGCGGAAGGAUCAUUAAUGAGUUUGAACUGGGUUGUAGCUGGCCUUUCGAGGCAUUGUGCACGCCCUUUCUCAAUCCACACACACCUGUGAACUUUGGGGAGAACAAUGAAAGUGAAGCUGGCAACAGCUGAUCUUUCGUUCUCUCACAUUUACAUCCAACUACAGUUAUAGAAUGUCUUUUGCUUGAUGCAAACUAAAUACAACUUUCAACAACGGAUCUCUUGGCUCUC